GACGAACGCUGGCGGCGUGCUUAACACAUGCAAGUCGAACGGAAAGGCCUCUUUCGGGGGGUUCUCGAGUGGCGAACGGGUGAGUAACACGUGAGUAACCUGCCCUUGACUUUGGGAUAACUUCAGGAAACGGGGGCUAAUACCGGAUAGGAGCUCCUGCUGCCUGGUGGGGGUUGGAAAGUUUCGGCGGUUGGGGAUGGACUCGCGGCUUAUCAGCUUGUUGGUGGGGUAGUGGCUUACCAAGGCUUUGACGGGUAGCCGGCCUGAGAGGGUGACCGGCCACAUUGGGACUGGGAGACGGCCCAGACGCCUACGGGAGGCAGCAGUGGGGAAUAUUGCACAAUGGGUGGAAGCCGGAUGCAGCAACGCCGUGGGCGGGAUGACGGCCUUCGGGUUGUAAACCGCUUUCGCUCAUGACGAAGCUUUGUGUGACGGUAGUGGGUAAAGAAGCACCGGCUAACUACGUG
rnacentral:rRNA from 1 species